rnacentral:tRNA from 1 species
AUUCUAGCAGCAGUUGAGUGCACUAAUUUUAAGCGUUAGGAAUAAAGAAAUAUUCUUUCUAGAAUA